rnacentral:rRNA from 1 species
AGAGUUUGAUCCUGGCUCAGGAUGAACGCUGGCGGCGUGCUUAACCCAUGCAAGUCGAACGAAGCACUUUACUUGAUUUUUUCGGAAUGAUUGUUCUGUGACUGAGUGGCGGACGGGUGAGUAACGCGUGGGUAACCUGCCUCAUACAGGGGGAUAACAGUUGGAAACGACUGCUAAUACCGCAUAAGCGCACGGUAUCGCAUGAUACAGUGUGAAAAACUCCGGUGGUAUGAGAUGGACCCGCGUCUGAUUAGCUAGUUGGUGGGGUAACGGCCUGCCAAGGCGACGAUCAGUAGCCGACCUGAGAGGGUGACCGGCCACAUUGGGACUGAGACACGGCCCAAACUCCUACGGGAGGCAGCAGUGGGGAAUAUUGCACAAUGGGGGAAACCCUGAUGCAGCGACGCCGCGUGAGCGAUGAAGUAUUUCGGUAUGUAAAGCUCUAUCAGCAGGGAAGAAAAAUGACGGUACCUGACUAAGAAGCACCGGCUAAAUACGUGCCAGCAGCCGCGGU